UACGUAGGUGGCAAGCGUUGUCCGGAUUUACUGGGCGUAAAGAGCGCGCAGGCGGUCGUUCAAGUCGCGUGUGAAAGCCCCCGGCUCAACUGGGGAGGGUCACGCGAUACUGAUCGACUCGAAGGCAGGAGAGGGAAGUGGAAUUCCCGGUGUAGUGGUGAAAUGCGUAGAUAUCGGGAGGAACACCAGUGGCGAAGGCGAGUCUCUGGGCUGAUACCGACGCUGAGGCGCGAAAGCCAGGGGAGCAAACGGG
rnacentral:rRNA from 1 species